rnacentral:piRNA from 1 species
UGUGAAUUUCUGUGUGACUGGUACCUAU